rnacentral:rRNA from 1 species
UACGUAGGGUGCAAGCGUUGUCCGGAAUUAUUGGGCGUAAAGAGCUCGUAGGCGGUCUGUUGCGUCGGCUGUGAAAACCCGGGGCUCAACCCCGGGCCUGCAGCCGAUACGGGCAGACUAGAGUUCGGCAGGGGAGACUGGAAUUCCUGGUGUAGCGGUGAAAUGCGCAGAUAUCGGGAGGAACACCAGUGGCGAAGGCGGUUGCCUGGAGCUUUGCUGACGCUGAGGCGCGAAAGCGUGGGGAGCGAUCCGG